GACGAACGCUGGCGGCGUGCCUAAUACAUGCAAGUAGAACGCUGAAGAGAGGAGCUUGCUCUUCUUGGCUGAGUUGCGAACGGGUGAGUAACGCGUAGGUAACCUGCCUUGUAGCGGGGGAUAACUAUUGGAAACGAUAGCUAAUACCGCAUAACAAUGGAUGACCCAUGUCAUUUAUUUGAAAGGGGCAAAUGCUCCACUACAAGAUGGACCUGCGUUGUAUUAGCUAGUAGGUGAGGUAACGGCUCACCUAGGCGACGAUACAUAGCCGACCUGAGAGGGUGAUCGGCCACACUGGGACUGAGACACGGCCCAGACUCCUACGGGAGGCAGCAGUAGGGAAUCUUCGGCAAUGGGGGCAACCCUAACCGAGCAACGCCGCGUGAGUGAAGAAGGUUUUCGGAUCGUAAAGCUCUGUUGUAAGUCAAGAACGAGUGUGAGAGUGGAAAGUUCACACUGUGACGGUAGCUUACCAGAAAGGGACGGCUAACUACGUG
rnacentral:rRNA from 1 species